UAACUGAAGAGUUUGAUCAUGGCUCAGAUUGAACGCUGGCGGCAGGCUUAACACAUGCAAGUCGAGCGGGGGAAGGUAGCUUGCUACCGGACCUAGCGGCGGACGGGUGAGUAAUGCUUAGGAAUCUGCCUAUUAGUGGGGGACAACAUCUCGAAAGGGAUGCUAAUACCGCAUACGUCCUACGGGAGAAAGCAGGGGAUCUUCGGACCUUGCGCUAAUAGAUGAGCCUAAGUCGGAUUAGCUAGUUGGUGGGGUAAAGGCCUACCAAGGCGACGAUCUGUAGCGGGUCUGAGAGGAUGAUCCGCCACACUGGGACUGAGACACGGCCCAGACUCCUACGGGAGGCAGCAGUGGGGAAUAUUGGACAAUGGGGGGAACCCUGAUCCAGCCAUGCCGCGUGUGUGAAGAAGGCCUUAUGGUUGUAAAGCACUUUAAGCGAGGAGGAGGCUACUUUAGUUAAUACCUAGAGAUAGUGGACGUUACUCGCAGAAUAAGCACCGGCUAACUCUGUGCCAGCAGCCGCGGUAAUACAGAGGGUGCGAGCGUUAAUCGGAUUUACUGGGCGUAAAGCGUGCGUAGGCGGCUUAUUAAGUCGGAUGUGAAAUCCCCGAGCUUAACUUGGGAAUUGCAUUCGAUACUGGUGAGCUAGAGUAUGGGAGAGGAUGGUAGAAUUCCAGGUGUAGCGGUGAAAUGCGUAGAGAUCUGGAGGAAUACCGAUGGCGAAGGCAGCCAUCUGGCCUAAUACUGACGCUGAGGUACGAAAGCAUGGGGAGCAAACAGGAUUAGAUACCCUGGUAGUCCAUGCCGUAAACGAUGUCUACUAGCCGUUGGGGCCUUUGAGGCUUUAGUGGCGCAGCUAACGCGAUAAGUAGACCGCCUGGGGAGUACGGUCGCAAGACUAAAACUCAAAUGAAUUGACGGGGGCCCGCACAAGCGGUGGAGCAUGUGGUUUAAUUCGAUGCAACGCGAAGAACCUUACCUGGCCUUGACAUACUAGAAACUUUCCAGAGAUGGAUUGGUGCCUUCGGGAAUCUAGAUACAGGUGCUGCAUGGCUGUCGUCAGCUCGUGUCGUGAGAUGUUGGGUUAAGUCCCGCAACGAGCGCAACCCUUUUCCUUACUUGCCAGCAUUUCGGAUGGGAACUUUAAGGAUACUGCCAGUGACAAACUGGAGGAAGGCGGGGACGACGUCAAGUCAUCAUGGCCCUUACGGCCAGGGCUACACACGUGCUACAAUGGUCGGUACAAAGGGUUGCUACACAGCGAUGUGAUGCUAAUCUCAAAAAGCCGAUCGUAGUCCGGAUUGGAGUCUGCAACUCGACUCCAUGAAGUCGGAAUCGCU
rnacentral:rRNA from 1 species